rnacentral:lncRNA from 1 species
UCUUUGGGUCUUCUAGGAGGAAGAAGGCUGGGGUGGGUAGGUUGGGGGUGGAGACAAUUAGGAAGAGGAAACCCACAGAAAGUUUUUGCAUAUAUCAACAUCAGUGUAGCAGAAGCGGACCUGAAAAAAUCCAUUUUUCACGUUAUCCAGAGGGACAGCAGUGAUGAAGAGAAUUCCAGUAUCGUAUAACUCAGCAGGUUUAGGUCCAUUCCAUUUGGCAUCAGCAGACAUGGUAGCACUUUACUGGUAUGUCUGUUUUAAAUAAAACAAAAUGGAAAGGUGGAACAUUACAAAUUCAACUAGCAAAAGAAAGCUUUCUGCACAGAUUGGCCCAAGAGAGAGAAGCAGCAAAAGCUAAGAAAGAAGAAUCAACAACAGGUAACGCCAACUUGUUAGAAAAGACAGGAGGAGUGGAUUUCCAUAUGAAAGCUGUGCCAGGGACAGAAGUGCCAGGGCAUAAGAAUUGGGUUGUGAGCAAAUUUGGAAGAGUCUUACCUGUUCUUCACCUUAAAAAUCAACAUAAACGUAAAAUCAUCAAAUAUGAUCCCUCAAAAUACUGCCACAACCUGAAGAAG